rnacentral:rRNA from 1 species
UACAGAGGUCCCGAGCGUUGUUCGGAUUCAUUGGGCGUAAAGGGUGCGUAGGCGGUCUUCUAAGUUUGAUGUGAAAUUCCGGGGCUCAACCCUGGCAUGGCAUUGAAUACUGGAGGACUAGAGUACCGGAGAGGAAACUGGAAUUUACGGUGUAGCAGUGAAAUGCGCAGAUAUCAGGAGGAACACCGAUGGCGAAGGCAGGUCUCUGGGCAUUAACUGACGCUGAGGAGCGAAAGCAUGGGGAGCGAACAGG